UACGUAGGGUGCAAGCGUUUAAUCGGAAUACUGGGCGUAAAGCGUGCGCAGGCGGUUAUAUAAGACAGUUGUGAAAUCCCCGGGCUCAACCUGGGAACUGCAUCUGUGACUGUAUAGCUAGAGUACGGUAGAGGGGGAUGGAAUUCCGCGUGUAGCAGUGAAAUGCGUAGAUAUGCGGAGGAACACCGAUGGCGAAGGCAAUCCCCUGGACCUGUACUGACGCUCAUGCACGAAAGCGUGGGGAGCAAACGAGG
rnacentral:rRNA from 1 species